CGGCGGACGGGUGAGUAAUGCGUGGGUAACCUGCCUCAUACAGGGGGAUAACAGUUAGAAAUGACUGCUAAUACCGCAUAAGACCACAGCACCGCAUGGUGCGGGGGUAAAAACUCCGGUGGUAUGAGAUGGACCCGCGUCUGAUUAGCUAGUUGGUAAGGUAACGGCUUACCAAGGCGACGAUCAGUAGCCGACCUGAGAGGGUGACCGGCCACAUUGGGACUGAGACACGGCCCAA
rnacentral:rRNA from 1 species